rnacentral:lncRNA from 1 species
GAAGUUAUUCAGGAUGACUCAAUUUAUUAUAAAGACGUCUUUUUGUACCAAAGCAAACAGCAAAGCUGUUCAAAUAGGCAAUGUCCUAUGAAAUACUAAAAAAAAAAACGUUUAAACACAUUCAAAGGAACAGUACUUUCUUACUACGUGUCGUCAUUAAGUGGCUGCAUUGUGUUCCCGGAGAUGUAUUGAUAAACGGCAUAAAUGAUAUAGUCGUUGUCUGGAUAUCUACAGCACCAAUACGAUUAACUGGUUAUUAUUUUGUUAAUGUUACACUCGUUAGGCAUUACAAACUUUCCUAAGAGCCAUACAGAUGAGGACAGUAAAAUAUUGAUAUGUUCGGCAGGAAAAAGUUAUAUAAAAUGCAUUUAACACAGAAUUGUCUUUUUC